rnacentral:rRNA from 1 species
UUUAAUUUAUAAUAUUAAUUCUUUUUUAUUAAUUUUUUUGGAUAAGCUCAAAAAAGUUAAGAUUUUCAGCUAAAAUUACUGUGUGGGCUUAAAAUUGGCCAAAAAGUUUGUUAUAAAAUAGUAAUCUUAAUUUAGAAAAUAAAUAUAUUUUAAUUUAAGUUAUUACGGGGACAAGAGCUUUAAUUCUAUGCCUAUGCUAGAAUGAGUAUUAAACCAUUAUAAAGAUUUUCUUCAAAAAAUUAAUUAAUUAGAAGGAAUUCGGCAAGUUUAAUUGCUUCGCCUGUUUAUCAAAAACAUGGCUCUUUGCCCACAUAAAUAUAAAGAGUCGAGCCUGCCCAGUGUUUUUUAACGGCCGCGGUACUCUGACCGUGCAAAGGUAGCAUAAUCAUUUGCCUUAUGAUUGAAGGCUAGUAUGGAUGGUUUGACGAGAGCAAUACUGUCUCCUUUUUAUUUUCAAAAACUUAAC